rnacentral:rRNA from 1 species
UUGAACGCUGGCGGCAUGCCUUACACAUGCCAGUCGAACGGCAGCGCGGGAGCAAUCCUGGCGGCGAGUGGCGAACGGGUGAGUAAUACAUCGGAACGUGCCCAAUCGUGGGGGAUAACGCAGCGAAAGCUGUGCUAAUACCGCAUACGAUCUACGGAUGAAAGCAGGGGAUCGCAAGACCUUGCGCGAAUGGAGCGGCCGAUGGCAGAUUAGGUAGUUGGUGAGGUAAAGGCUCACCAAGCCUUCGAUCUGUAGCUGGUCUGAGAGGACGACCAGCCACACUGGGACUGAGACACGGCCCAGACUCCUACGGGAGGUAGCAGUGGGGAAUUUUGGACAAUGGGCGAAAGCCUGAUCCAGCCAUGCCGCGUGCAGGAUGAAGGCCUUCGGGUUGUAAACUGCUUUUGUACGGAACGAAACGGUCUUUUCUAAUAAAGAAGGCUAAUGACGGUACCGUAAGAAUAAGCACCGGCUAACUACGUG